CCAGGUAAGAGAGGCGGUCGCGGUCAGGCAUAAGCCUGACUGAGGAAAGUCCGGGCUCUAAAGGGCAUGCCGCUGGUUAAUAGCCAGAGCGAGUAAUCGCUGGAAAGCGCCACAGAAAACAAACCGCCCUGUUUUAUCAGGGUAAGGGUGAAACGGCGGGGUAAGAGCCCACCGCAGAGGGAGUGAUCCCUCUGGCACGGCAAGCCCCGGCAGGAGCAAGGCCAAAUAGGGGAACGCUUGAGGCUGGUCCCGGCCGAGUUCCCGGGUAGGCCGCUUGAGUGCGAUGGCAACAUCGCUCCCAGAGGAAUGAUCGCCAUUCUGCGUAGUUCCUGAAAAGGAGCUAUGCGGAAACAGAACCCGGCUUAUAUCUUGCCUGGCGUU
rnacentral:RNase_P_RNA from 1 species